rnacentral:miRNA from 8 species
UCGGGAAUUUCGGCAUCAUUCU